rnacentral:tRNA from 1 species
GCGCCUUAGCUCAGCUGGAUAGAGCACGUCCCUUCUAAGGAUGUGGUCGUAGGUUCGAAUCCUACAGGGCG